rnacentral:rRNA from 1 species
AGGAUGUUGGCUCAGAAGCAGCCACCAUUUAAAGAGUGCGUAAUAGCUCACUAGUCGAGUGAUCCUGCGCCGAAAAUGUACCGGGGCUAAGCAUACUACCGAAACCAUGGAUGCGACCAUUAGGUCGCGUGAUAGGAGAGCGUUCUAAGGGCGGUGAAGCAAGAUCGUGAGGACUUGUGGAGCGCUUAGAAGUGAGAAUGCCGGUAUGAGUAGCGAAAGAUAGGUGAGAAUCCUAUCCACCGAAUGACUAAGGUUUCCUGGGGAAGGCUCGUCCUCCCAGGGUUAGUCGGGACCUAAGUCGAGGCCGAGAGGCGUAGACGAUGGAUAACAGGUUGAGAUUCCUGUACUAGUUAAGUGCGUUUGAGCAAUGGAGGGACGCAGGAGGCUAAGAUGUGCAUUCUGUUGGAUUAGAAUGUCCAAGCAGUAAGUCUUGUGAAGAGUCAAAUGCUUUUCACUUUAAGGACAAGCUGUGAUGGGGAGCGAAAUUUAGUAGCGAAGCGUCUGAUGUCACACUGCCGAGAAAAGCUUCUAGUGAGUACUUAACUACCCGUACCGCAAACCGACACAGGUAGUCGAGGAGAGAAUCCUAAGGUGAGCGAGUGAACUCUCGUUAAGGAACUCGGCAAAAUGACCCCGUAACUUCGGGAGAAGGGGUGCUGAUCGCAAGAUCAGCCGCAGUGAAUAGGCCCAGGCGACUGUUUAUCAAAAACACAGGUCUCUGCAAAAUCGUAAGAUGACGUAUAGGGGCUGACGCCUGCCCGGUGCUGGAAGGUUAAAAGGAUGGGUUAGCUUCGGCGAAGCUCAGAAUUGAAGCCCCAGUAAACGGCGGCCGUAACUAUAACGGUCCUAAGGUAGCGAAAUUCCUUGUCGGGUAAGUUCCGACCCGCACGAAAGGCGUAACGAUCUGGGCACUGUCUCAACGAGAGACUCGGUGAAAUUAUAUUGUCCGUGAAGAUGCGGACUACCCGCGACAGGACGGAAAGACCCCAUGGAGCUUUACUGUAGCUUGAUAUUGAGUGUUUGUACAGCUUGUACAGGAUAGGUAGGAGCCAUAGAAACCGGAACGCUAGUUUCGGUGGAGGCGUUGGUGGGAUACUACCCUCGCUGUAUGACCACUCUAACCCGCACCACUAAUCGUGGUGGGAGACAGUGUCAGGUGGGCAGUUUGACUGGGGCGGUCGCCUCCUAAAAAGUAACGGAGGCGCCCAAAGGUUCCCUCAGAAUGGUUGGAAAUCAUUCGCAGAGUGUAAAGGCACAAGGGAGCUUGACUGCGAGACAGACAGGUCGAGCAGGGACGAAAGUCGGGCUUAGUGAUCCGGUGGUACCGUAUGGAAGGGCCAUCGCUCAACGGAUAAAAGCUACCCUGGGGAUAACAGGCUUAUCUCCCCCAAGAGUCCACAUCGACGGGGAGGUUUGGCACCUCGAUGUCGGCUCAUCGCAUCCUGGGGCUGUAGUCGGUCCCAAGGGUUGGGCUGUUCGCCCAUUAAAGCGGUACGCGAGCUGGGUUCAGAACGUCGUGAGACAGUUCGGUCCCUAUCCGUCGCGGGCGUAGGAAAUUUGAGAGGACCUGUCCUUAGUACGAGAGGACCGGGAUGGACAUACCUCUGGUGUACCAGUUGUGCCGCCAGGCGCAUCGCUGGGUAGCUACGUAUGGAUGUGAUAAACGCUGAAAGCAUCUAAGUGUGAAACACACCUCGAGAUGAGAUUUCCCAUUCCUUUAUGGAAGUAAGACCCCUGAAAGAUGAUCAGGUAGAUAGGUUAGAAGUGGCAGUGCGGUGACGCAUGAAGCGGACUAAUACUAAUCGGUCGAGGACUUAACCAAG